rnacentral:rRNA from 1 species
GACAGAGGUGCCAAGCGUUAGGCGGAAUCACUGGGCGUAAAGGGUGCGUAGGCGGGUCUUUAAGUCAGGGGGGAAAUCCUGGAGCUCAACUCCAGAACUGCCUUUGAUACUGAGGAUCUUGAGUUCGGGAGAGGUGAGUGGAACUGCGAGUGUAGAGGUGAAAUUCGUAGAUAUUCGCAAGAACACCAGUGGCGAAGGCGGCUCACUGGACCAUUACUGACGCUGAUGCACGAAAGCUAGGGGAGCAAACAGG